GCAAACUUGGUCAUUUAGAGGAAGUAAAAGUCGUAACAAGGUUUCCGUAGGUGAACCUGCGGAAGGAUCAUUACUGAGUUUAGGGUCCUCUGGGCCCGAACCUCCCAACCCUUUGAUUACCAAACUUUUGUUGCUUCGGCGGACCCGUCUCCUCCGGGGGACCGCCGGAGGGUCGCUGUAAUAGGCGUCCUCUGGCCCGCGUCCGCCGAUGGCCCCUCCUUCAAAAUUCUGAUCUCAAAAUAUUGUCGUCUGAAUUCCACAAAGCAAAUAAAUGCAAAACUUUCAACAACGGAUCUCUUGGUUCUGGCAUCGAUGAAGAACGCAGC
rnacentral:misc_RNA from 1 species